GGGCGAUUAGCUCAGGGGGAGAGCGCUUCCUUGACACGGAAGAGGCCGGAGGUUCAAGUCCUCCAUCGCCCA
rnacentral:tRNA from 1 species